rnacentral:rRNA from 1 species
AGAGUUUGAUCAUGGCUCAGAUUGAACGCUGGCGGCAGGCCUAACACAUGCAAGUCGAACGGUAACAGGAAGCAGCUUGCUGCUUCGCUGACGAGUGGCGGACGGGUGAGUAAUGUCUGGGAAACUGCCUGAUGGAGGGGGAUAACUACUGGAAACGGUAGCUAAUACCGCAUAACGUCGCAAGACCAAAGAGGGGGACCUUCGGGCCUCUUGCCAUCGGAUGUGCCCAGAUGGGAUUAGCUAGUAGGUGGGGUAACGGCUCACCUAGGCGACGAUCCCUAGCUGGUCUGAGAGGAUGACCAGCCACACUGGAACUGAGACACGGUCCAGACUCCUACGGGAGGCAGCAGUGGGGAAUAUUGCACAAUGGGCGCAAGCCUGAUGCAGCCAUGCCGCGUGUAUGAAGAAGGCCUUCGGGUUGUAAAGUACUUUCAGCGGGGAGGAAGGGAGUAAAGUUAAUACCUUUGCUCAUUGACGUUACCCGCAGAAGAAGCACCGGCUAACUCCGUGCCAGCAGCCGCGGUAAUACGGAGGGUGCAAGCGUUAAUCGGAAUUACUGGGCGUAAAGCGCACGCAGGCGGUUUGUUAAGUCAGAUGUGAAAUCCCCGGGCUCAACCUGGGAACUGCAUCUGAUACUGGCAAGCUUGAGUCUCGUAGAGGGGGGUAGAAUUCCAGGUGUAGCGGUGAAAUGCGUAGAGAUCUGGAGGAAUACCGGUGGCGAAGGCGGCCCCCUGGACGAAGACUGACGCUCAGGUGCGAAAGCGUGGGGAGCAAACAGGAUUAGAUACCCUGGUAGUCCACGCCGUAAACGAUGUCGACUUGGAGGUUGUGCCCUUGAGGCGUGGCUUCCGGAGCUAACGCGUUAAGUCGACCGCCUGGGGAGUACGGCCGCAAGGUUAAAACUCAAAUGAAUUGACGGGGGCCCGCACAAGCGGUGGAGCAUGUGGUUUAAUUCGAUGCAACGCGAAGAACCUUACCUGGUCUUGACAUCCACAGAACUUUCCAGAGAUGAGAUUGUGCCUUCGGGAACUGUGAGACAGGUGCUGCAUGGCUGUCGUCAGCUCGUGUUGUGAAAUGUUGGGUUAAGUCCCGCAACGAGCGCAACCCUUAUCCUUUGUUGCCAGCGGUCCGGCCGGGAACUCAAAGGAGACUGCCAGUGAUAAACUGGAGGAAGGUGAGGAUGACGUCAAGUCAUCAUGGCCCUUACGACCAGGGCUACACACGUGCUACAAUGGCGCAUACAAAGAGAAGCGACCUCGCGAGAGCAAGCGGACCUCAUAAAGUGCGUCGUAGUCCGGAUUGGAGUCUGCAACUCGACUCCAUGAAGUCGGAAUCGCUAGUAAUCGUGGAUCAGAAUGCCACGGUGAAUACGUUCCCGGGCCUUGUACACACCGCCCGUCACACCAUGGGAGUGGGUUGCAAAAGAAGUAGGUAGCUUAACCUUCGGGAGGGCGCUUACCACUUUGUGAUUCAUGACUGGGGUGAAGUCGUAACAAGGUAACCGUAGGGGAACCUGCGGUUG